UGCCGGUCACCGCCACGCCGACCUCGAAAGCGUGUGAGGUGAAAGCCUCCGUGGGUUCAAAUCCCACCGCCACCGCCA
rnacentral:tRNA from 1 species